rnacentral:piRNA from 1 species
GAGUGACCGUUUUUCCCCCCAU